rnacentral:rRNA from 1 species
CUACGGGGCGCACCAGUGGGGAAUAUUGGGCAAUGGGGGAAACCCUGACCCAGCAACGCCGCGUGAAGGAAGAAGGCUUUCGGGUUGUAAACUUCUUUUAAGAGGGACGAAGAAGUGACGGUACCUCUUGAAUAAGCCACGGCUAACUACGUGCCAGCAGCCGCGGUAAUACGUAGGUGGCAAGCGUUGUCCGGAUUUACUGGGUGUAAAGGGCGCGUAGGCGGGUAGGCAAGUCAGAUGUGAAAUACCGGGGCUUAACUCCGGGGCUGCAUUUGAAACUGCUUAUCUUGAGUAUCGGAGAGGCAGGCGGAAUUCCUAGUGUAGCGGUGAAAUGCGUAGAUAUUAGGAGGAACACCAGUGGCGAAGGCGGCCUGCUGGACGACAACUGACGCUGAGGCGCGAAAGCGUGGGGAGCAAACAGGAUUAGAUACCCCAGUAGUC